AUGUGGACCUGUCUUCGUCAGCGCUAUGAGUCCUCUGGUGAUGCCUUAUAUCUUUCUGUGGUUCGUCAGGAGCAUGCUCUUCAGCAGGGUGACUCUACUGUUGAUGACUUUUAUGCACAGAGUUCUGCUAUCUGGCGCCAACUUGAUUCUCUCCGCAGUGCUGGUUGUCGUACUUGCCCCUGCUGCCUGGCUGUCCAGGCCGAUUUGGAGUUUCAUCGCGUCUAUGAGUUCCUGUCUCGGCUCUGUAAGGAGUUUGAGCCCCGGCGUGCUCAGUUGUUUGCUCGUGGCCGUAUUUCUCUCAUGGAGGCGCUUUCAGAGAUUCGUGCUGAGGAGACUCGCCUACGUGGUGCUGGUUUGCUGGAGGUUCCCUCUGUGCUCGCUACUCGGGUUUCUUUCACUCCACCUGCUGCACCGCCCCAUUCUCGCUCGAGUGCUCCGCCGCUCUUGCCCACUCCUUCUGGAGGCUCAGGUCGGCCCCGUUCACAUUGUGACUACUGCAACAAUGAUGGUCAUAUUGAGUCCCAGUGCUACACAAAGCGGAAACACCUGCGCAAGGCGCGAUCAUCCUUCUCAGGGACUUCGUCAUCUCCCUCGUCAGCUUCAUCCAUU
rnacentral:rRNA from 1 species